ACAGCUUCUCAUGGAAGCUUAUUGUUCAAAUCAAAAAAAUCAAAACAAAAAGAAUGGCUAAAGCUUCUCUCAUAUGUUUCCUCUGGCGCCGAUUUCCACUUUCCAGUUCCCGGCGAUUGUUCCCUUCUUUCGCACUUUGUAGGCAAUGGCAGCUGAUGGUGAUGAAGACCGUUCUUGGCGUUUAUUCACCUCUGAAGAUAUGAUUGAAGGUUACAAGGCACUUAAGCGCAGAAAGACAACUAGAAAUGUCAAGAAAAAAGAGAGGGGGAGUACUGCAGCUGCACAGGCCUUCUGUUCAGACAAUUCCGAUGCACCGCGCACAGCAGAGUCAUCUGCCGUUG